UCUAUCUCAUCACAGAUGUAAAACCAUUACCAUGGCUAAGCAGAAGAAGCAGAGAAAGAGACUGAGAAGAGGGAAAGAGAGAUCGGAGCUACUGGAAGUUGUAGGAAUGGGCUGAUUGGGAUAAAAAUCUCAUGGUGGAAACACUUAAAUUUUUUUCCCAAUGCCGCCCAUUCCAAUGAUUUUCAGCUGUUCCUCCCUUUCCCUGCCAUCUCAAUUCCUCAUAUUCAGGGUUCUCCUCCACCCCCAACUACAAGGACUGGGUAUUCAAGUGGCAUAUGUUAUAGAGACUGAAUUUCAUUCUUUACAUCUGGAAAAUGCUUGGCGUAUGAUCAUAACAAAUGAAGUAGUCGAAAGAACAACAUGAGAAAGGGUUAUUUUCCUUUCUCGGUUUAGGUUUUACCAAUUGGCAACUCUGAAUUUUUGUUAUGCUAUCAUGGAAUUUCAUUUAAACUUCAUUCUUAGUACAUUAACUUCUCUCCGUAGUCAUGGGAUCCGGGGAUUGAAUUCAAAUGAGAAUGGAAUCAUAUCAAAUACUUAAAAGAAACAGCUCACCAAAUGGUAUGUUUAGAGCUUUACCUUGUUCCAGUAAUAUUUCAGUUUUCUGCCUAGUCUCGACUUGCUAUAGCCAGGAAAAGGGUCAUUAAAGAAACAUGGUCACAUUGCUUAACCAAACUCUCUGAUGGGCCCCGGCCUGCCCUGGCACUUUAUGAAGGGGCCAGGCUCCUGGAACUAGUUCAAGAUGCUCGGCCGAGGCAUGAAACUGAAACUGCACGCCGUCUCUCUUUCAUGGUACUAUGUGAUAGAUGAUUCACUUUAACCAUGGUUCUAUCCAACUAAUCAUGAUUUAUAACGAUAAACUAUAAGUUUAUCACAACCUAUUAGAAGACUCAUGGAGGACAGAUGCCAUUCAUUCCACAUAAAGUCAUUAUUCUUCAUCAUGGAAUGUGUGCCGGGAUCAAUUCCAGCCAUGGCAGAUAUUGCUUGAGGUUGCUGUCAAAGAUCCCAUGGUCACGGAGAUCAGUUUUGAGUUUGUUCUCUGCGCCAUUAACAACUUCUCUUCAUGGUCAUCUUGCUGAGCAAUGUGUCCUGAGGGUUGAAUUACUUGGGAGGACAAAGUGAUAAAAUAAAUUAGGGAUAAAUUUGGCUAUGAUGUGAAUGGGAACAUAUCAAAUCUUAAAACAAUCGAUUGACUACAAUUCAGCUAUAAAUUUUAGGAUAUAAACACAUUCAUGUUAAUAUAUGUACGAAAAUAUCCAACCAAGCAACACUAGGAAUCUGACUCAUAUGAAAUGAAUAAAUUCAGAAGAAUUGUAGCA